rnacentral:lncRNA from 1 species
AGCAACCUAAUCUUUUCCCUUAAUGGCUGCGCUAUUUUAAACCCCGUUAUCACCAUCCGAACUCCGAUCACGGCGGAGCAAACUAGGAUUCAGUGGCCUCAACUCAAAGGUAAGCCUCUCUUCUUUUCUCUACUGCUCUUUUCUUGUCAUUAACAAAUGAAAUCAAAUAAGGAAAAUCAAGAAACAGAGAAUAACGCCCGAAAAAAGAAAAAAAAAGAAAUGAGAUCACCUUUCGAAACAAACUUUUUGCUUUGAUUUUUUUUUUUGUAUUCAAUCUCUCUGUGUGUGUACAAAUGAGAAGCAAAAGAGAAAAAGAAAAAAAUCCCCCCUUUACAGGUUUUUGAAAGGCUUUUUUUAUAGCCCCGAAACAAAAAUGAAAAAAAAAUACAAAACUCUUUUUUUCCUAUUCUUUUUCUCUACUUUUCUCUUGUUGUUUGUUUGUGUGUCUGUUGCAGGUACAGAGCUAGCCUGGCGCUGAGGUGCAUGUGUGGCGCAGAUGCAGUGCAUUGCGGGGUAGUUGGAGGCUUGCGGAUGUGCUAGAGUUGCUGACUGCUGCGGCGUCAGAAGAAUCUAGAAACCCUAAAGGUUUCUGGAAAUAUUUG